GACGAACGCUGGCGGCGUACUUAACACAUGCAAGUCGAACGAUGAAGCCGGAGCUUGCUCUGGUGAAUUAGUGGCGAACGGGUGAGUAACACGUGAGUAACCUGCCCUUGACUCUGGGAUAACUGCGGGAAACUGUAGCUAAUACCGGAUACGACCCUCGGAGGCAUCUCCUGGGGGUGGAAAGAAUUUCGGUCAAGGAUGGACUCGCGGCCUAUCAGCUAGUUUGUGAGGUAAAGGCUGACCAAGGCGACGACGGGUAGCCGGCCUGAGAGGGUGACCGGCCACACUGGGACUGAGACACGGCCCAGAAUCCUACGGGAGGCAGCAGUGGGGAAUAUUGCACAAUGGGCGCAAGCCUGAUGCAGCAACGCCGCGUGAGGGAUGACGGCCUUCGGGUUGUAAACCUCUUUUAGCAGGGAAGAAGCGAAAGUGACGGUACCUGCAGAAAAAGCACCGGCUAACUACGUGCCAGCCGCCGCGGUAA
rnacentral:rRNA from 1 species